rnacentral:rRNA from 1 species
UAGGGAAUCUUCACAAUGGACGAAAGUCUGAUGGAGCAACGCCGCGUGAGUGAAGAAGGUUUUCGGAUCGUAAAGCUCUGUUGUUGGUGAAGAAGGAUAGAGGCAGUAACUGGUCUUUAUUUGACGGUAAUCAACCAGAAAGUCACGGCUAACUACGUGCCAG